CUCGGGGGGUACCGAACUGGACUUUGCCCAAGAAAUAGAGAAAGUUCUGAUUACUAACUUCUCUGCCUUGUACCUAAGCCUCAAGCCAAUAGGGCACAUGUAUGGGGCAACUUUGUUGCAUCUCUUUAGCGUGUUCCGGGUUCAUAUUGGUUUGAAAAUAUUGGAGGUCAUCCUACUGAGUCCGGGGAAGUCCGAGGUGGUACAAUCAUGCCCAGGGAAUUGUCCAUGUGAUUCUCCCAAAAAUUGGAGAAGCCAAAGUAUCUCCAUGGUUCAUCUAGAAGAAGUGGAAAUCAAAGGCCUAAAAGGAGAAGAUCAUGACUUUGAUGUCUUGAAAUUGAUUCUUAGAUGCGCGCCGUCUCUUAGAAGGAUGACCGUGGAACUGGAAACUGGGAUUAAAUCACUUGGCCACGGAGAUUGCACCAAGGAAAUCAACAGCAUCUCACUGGAGUAUCCUUCCGUGGAUUUUCAUGUUUAUCACCAAGGAAAUCAACAGCAUGUGUUUUCAUCACGCUCCUAGGGGCUAAAUCAUAUGAUGUGACUCUGGAGGCUGCACCUGCUCUAAGAAUGUCUACACCAUCUCCUUGGGGUAUCCUUCCAUGAAUUAACAUGCUCGGUUCUCUGGUAAACUUGGUGCUGCAUGCAUGUCCAUCAGAGAUGUCUGGUAUUCAUUUGAAGAACCUAAACUCUUGCUAAAUCUCUUUGAACCUAUUGCCUACAAAUAUUCUACUAAGAAACUUA